rnacentral:rRNA from 1 species
UACAGAGGGUGCAAGCGUUAAUCGGAAUUACUGGGCGUAAAGCGCGUGUAGGCGGCAGCGCAAGUCGGGCGUGAAAUCCCACGGCUCAACCGUGGAAGUGCACUCGAAACUGCGCAGCUAGAGUCCUGGAGAGGAAGGUGGAAUGCUUGGUGUAGAGGUGAAAUUCGUAGAUAUCAAGCGGAACACCGGUGGCGAAGGCGGCCUUCUGGACAGUGACUGACGCUGAGACGCGAAAGCGUGGGGAGCAAACAGG